CGCACAUGCGCGCACAUGCGCACUGUGUCCUUUGCACAGGAGGCGGUGCCUAUCCUUCCAACAGGACGUGCCCGCGUUCCUGAAAGGACAGCUUGAGUUGGCUGCCUUGCUUCAGAUUUUCCAAGCCCUCUGUAGCAGUACGCCUGAGAGACCCAAGUGGACACAUAGGGCUGCCGCAGGAGGAGGCGUCCAAGCUAGCGGGGUGAGAUGGGACCGUCAUUCCUUGGGGGAACAACAGCUUCUGGGGACUGGUUUCCUCGGCGACCUUCCUCUAGGUACUGGACGCUGUCCUUGGCUAUGUUGGUUAACAACCAAAUGUCAUCAUCUGCCGGAGGCUCCUGCCUCGUGAGACCUCCUGCCCAGACGUCUUCACUCCAGGUCUCUAUGGGUGAGACUUUCCGACACCAGCAAUGGCUUUACAAGCAGUAAGAACCGUAGAAGAAGGGACACACAUGCCAGCGUUCACGAGGCAUCUGGUGACCCUGUUCUUCUGGGACACCAAUGAGGACGCUGUAGCAUUCAUUCUUUGGAGUGUUUUAAGGCUCACGUGAACUCGGAACAGUCGCUCCCGGACACCCAGUGGCAGUACCGCCAACACCUGCCAUCUUGCUUCUAUUUUCCUCAAGUCUUCCUGUGUCUUUCUGACCUCCACCCUCUGUUCUCUAAAUCACACACUGGAUAUGAAAAGCCAAGCCCUCUCCCCUCACAGGACUCAGUCUGGUGACUUGAUUACCUCUCCAUUUGCAACAGGGAGGCCCCUUGGGUCAGAAUUCAAUGUGAUUUCCAGUAGGAGAGGGGAUAGGUUUACUCUGCUCUCUCUGCCCGUCCACAGCUGUCCUGUAGACACAAAGCCUCCUCGGGCUCGGAGAGCGCCAGCUGACCUUCAGCCUGGCUGAUUUGCUGUGACCCUUACCGCUUGGAGAAGAAGGGUGGAAUCCUAGGAGUCAUACAGUCUCUAAGAGGAAGGCCCUAGAAACAGGAGAAUAAUGACGACCCAAGACCAAGGCCCCAAGUGCUACCGAGAUCAUGACCGUCAUCUCAGGUGUACUCAACAGAUCAACGGGACAAAAUCUGUCAUCUGAAUCCCAUUGCCUGAGAGCUGGAAUACUUGGAUUCCGGUUCCAACUCAGCUGUUAAGGCGCAUGCUUUCCAGUUUGGCAAUGACAUUCCUGUACACCGUGCGAGCAUAGACUCUUCCUUCACCUCCAGGCCUCUUGUCCUGUCUGUAAAGUGAAUAAUUGUUAUGGUUCCUUUCAGCUUUAGUCUCUUCUUUUCCUUCUGAAUUUAUACAACCAGGAGGAAUACUGUCGUGUAAAUGAAAGUGUUCUCUAGGCCCUCGGUAGAAGGGGCAAACACAUGACAAGGGAAAAGGCAAUGUGGUUAGACGUAAGGAGUUUUAGUUUACACUGAGGUGGUAAGUAUAUAAUCCCUGCUUCUGGAAUUUGCUGGAAGCGCGUUCUCCCAGUUGAAGGGAAACCAGAAGGGAGCAAGCCAAAGCAUGGUGUCUCCACCAUGGACUCAGAAGUGCGAUGCUAUUUCUCCGGGGCGAAAGGAAUUCUGGAAGAGGGUAGGUGUGUUCUGCAGCAUGUGUUGAACCGAGUUUCCACUAGACAAAGAACUCCUCAAGUCUGUUGCCUUCACACUGGACCCAAGAAGGAGCCAAGCCUAUGUGGGGUACUGAAAGAAAAACGAUGACAACCCGUACAGACCCUCUCUGUCGCUACAGUUGGGACACUGAUGUGGAGGGGAAAAUUAUUAUAGGAAUGACUAUCAGUACUGAGGUUUAAAGAGCUGCAGUAACUUAAUAAUCAGCUUCUUCAGAUCGAUGCUAUUGUUAACAAUAGAUAAAAAGUAAAAAGAUAGAUAGAUAGAUACAUACAUACAUACAUAGAUACAUAGAUACAUAGAUAGAUAGAUAGAUAGAUAGAUAGAUAGAUAGAUAGAUAGAUAAAAAGAAAGAAUACAAAACCUGAACGGUAUCCCUGAGUAUUAGAAGGACCUGGCUGUAAUCCAGAGGCUUCUAAAAAUGCCAAGCAUAAGUGACUGGACAUAUUCUGCCAAGGUCUGGGCACUUGGUGCAACCCUAGUAGAAGCCAAAUUUGCGCUCCUUGAUCAAGAGCUUUCAUUAAACCAUCACUGGGUUUUUGGUACUUAUUUCUUGGAUACUGCUAGCAUUUAGUAGGCUGGUACUGUAAGCACUCCAAGUGGCUCUCCGCCAUCACAGGCCCCAAAGUUCUGCAGACUUUUGUAUGUGUGACAGUGGGACAGAUGACGGCGCGGGUGUGCACAGACCAGAUGAGGAGAGGAUAAGAAGGAUGCCGACAGAUUUGGCCCCCAUCAUCCGAGCAGCCAACACUGUGUCCUCUAAUGUGCGAGCGGUGCAUGCUGGGCAGUCAAUUAAUCUCUGCAAUUUGAAGUUCCUCUCUCCAGAGAGGGCACAGUGAGGACCCCAGUCAGAUUUGUCAGUUCCUUUCCCCGCCUCCACCCUCCUCAAAUAACCGUGACCUUGGCAUAUCACACAGCAAGAUGGCUUCCCAAAUCAUCAAUGCCAUGCGAGGUUUCAAAACUUCUACCCCCACCCAGGCUAACACCCUUUUGCAAUGAACCCUAUAUAUGAAUCUUACUUUCUUUUUUGCAACUAAAAAAGGUGUGAGCAAAGAUGUGGAGUUUUGCUUAUUUUUAGUGAAGGGUCUUUUUUCUCUACAGGGGAGGAGGAGAGGAUACCUUUUACUCGCAUUGGGUCACUCCUUUCCAACAAAGUGACUCUGAAAACUACCUGCUUGUUUAGCCACAGAGUCUAAGAAGAAGCAAGGUGGGGAUGAGAACAGACCAGACCCGAAAGCAUGGAGAUCAGCCCGGUUCUCAAGGCUGCAGUUGUGCAGGACCGCACAACUGUUUCCCUUGGGUCUCCCAGGAGAGGUGGCACCACUUUUUCUAGGAAUCAGCCAAGAGCUAGCACAUCGAGGCGAUACUGUUCACCAGAUGCCUUGUGGGCUUAGAACUUAGAUUUGAACAAGUCAGACAAUGUGGUGCAGGGAGGUUUCUCUUGGCAAUAACUGUCUGGAAGUCCUGUUCUGACCUAAGAACACCAAAAACACAUUAAGAAGAUGUGUGCAAUCUAAGUUUGUAUAUGUCGUGAAAGGGCCAGAGAGAAAGAGAGAGAAGACUGCAAGGAGAAGCCCUUGCUCCAUCAGCGGACAUCAUUGGUCUCUGUAUGUAGAAACCCACACGUAUGUUUGUGAGCCUGAAUCGUCCAUGUGCGAACAGCGGAAGCACUAAGGGAGGGGCAUUCUCUUUUGACUCUAACGGAACAGAAUUUAGCAGCAUCAACUCCAGUCCAGAAUCCAAUACGCAUGGGCUUAGCAAGCCCUGGUCUCCUCCACACUGGAGGCUGUGGGAUGUGUCCCAGCGAGGCGCAGAUGAAACAAUGCGCAUGAAAGGGCUGCCCAAAUAUAAACCAGAGCACUAUUAUUUAUGAUGAAUAAGCACGGAGGAAUCCAGGUGCCAAUUAUUCGGCUAUCUUUUCACUGGGUUAGGUAAUCUAGCCAGAGGGUGAAUGGGUAAGAUUUUCCCCACUUAGGUUCACAGCCAAUAUGUAAAUCUGUAAUGCACAGGUGUCUGAGAUCUAUUAUUUAUGAGCAUAUUUUAAUAUGCCACAUUGUCUCUAGUUCUCCUCUGGAUCUGUAGACAGUGGAAAACACCAAACUGAGAAGAGUCCUUGGUGAAUUUAGCACCUAUCUGUGGAGCUCAGCAGUGUCACGGAUCUUUAGGAUAGAAGGCGCUCCUGGUUGAAAGGGUCUGUUCUGACAGUUAGCCACCUCUUUCCUCCAGCGAUGCUUGCCCCUGGUUAAACUCUUUACCGUAUUUUCUGAUGUAAAUAUCAGGCAGUUUCAUGUUUGUUCGUCUGCAUUAAGACCUAAUCACUGGAAUUUGGAAUCCUAGCAUCAGGAUAUUUCACAAGCAACCACUGGCUUUUACCACCCAUCCGCUGUGAAGUUAUCUUCCCUGAACUAAAUUAACAAAUUCAGCUCCUAUGUGUAGUCACCAAAAGCAUAUAUUUGAAAAAGAGGAUUCAGUGUGCCAUAUUUAUGCAUUAUUUAAUGGUAUGCAAAUUAUAAGUCAGACAGGAAAAACCACACGUCAGCAUUAAUAAACAGCAAUACUUCUACAUUAAUUAUGAUAUUGCCAUGAUUUAUUCCCUAGUUUUGCAUCUUGAUUCUCUUUGAAAAUGUAUGCUAUCUGAUAAGUGAAAGCCUAUUUCCUCUUGUACAUCUUCUGUCCAUCCCUUGAGUCUGGUCCUCAUGCCCACCCCAUGGGCUCCUUUAGGGAACAGGUACACAAACACAAAGCCCAAAGCGGCCACAUUGUCUUGCGAACAUUAAAAAUUAAAGAACAAGCACACGCUGCCUAAAGCUCCAACAUUUAUUAUGUCAAUGUUAAGCACACUUUUUAAAAGACAACAUAGAAUGUAUAGAAACAAGGGGUUCGGGGCUCAUGCUCAUUUCCACAAUAAGGGUAGCUGGAUUGGCUGGUUUCAAAAGGGUUGGACGGCGCUCGGACAGCGACGGUCCGGGGGCCCUCUAAUGGGACGGGUGCACUGUUCCAAUGCGGGUCUGUUUUUUUGUUUUUAA